rnacentral:rRNA from 1 species
AUUGAACGCUGGCGGCAGGCCUAACACAUGCAAGUCGAGCGGAUGAAGGGAGCUUGCUCCUGGAUUCAGCGGCGGACGGGUGAGUAAUGCCUAGGAAUCUGCCUGGUAGUGGGGGAUAACGUCCGGAAACGGGCGCUAAUACCGCAUACGUCCUGAGGGAGAAAGUGGGGGAUCUUCGGACCUCACGCUAUCAGAUGAGCCUAGGUCGGAUUAGCUAGUUGGUGGGGUAAAGGCCUACCAAGGCGACGAUCCGUAACUGGUCUGAGAGGAUGAUCAGUCACACUGGAACUGAGACACGGUCCAGACUCCUACGGGAGGCAGCAGUGGGGAAUAUUGGACAAUGGGCGAAAGCCUGAUCCAGCCAUGCCGCGUGUGUGAAGAAGGCCUUCGGAUUGUAAAUCACUUUAAGUUGGGAGGAAGGGCAGUAAGUUAAUACCUUGCUGUUUUGACGUUACCAACAGAAUAAGCACCGGCUAACUUCGUG